rnacentral:lncRNA from 1 species
AAAGUUCUUACCUUGGUGCUAAAAUGCUCAUUUCUACCAAAAUUUCAAUUUCAACAUUUUUUUGCUAAAUUAUUUAAUUUUCAUUGAAAUUAAAAUUAAACAUUACAUUAAAAAUAAAAAUUACAUAAUUUAAAAAACUGAAAAAAAUAACAUAAUUAAAAUUAUAAUUACAAUAAAAAAAUUAGAAUUUCAAAACAAAUAAAAAAUUAAAAUUAAAAAAAUAUAUGUAAAAGAAAUUAUAAAAAAGUAACAUAAUACCUCCAUGGGCCCCACCCACCCCAACCCAAACCCCAC